UUUUGGUGGAAAAUUCUAGAAUUGAGUGGGCCCCACUUGUGGUUGGUGAAGAAAUGUGCUGAAUUUUAUUUCAAAUGUGGUGGGUGGCAAUAGUAGCAGGUAAAGCCAUCAAGUUGCAGGUCAAGUCUGCUUCGGCGUGCUAACAUUUUCCUAUAAAUAGAGGGCUAAGUUAGAAUUGAAAAUCACACCAGAAACAUAAGCUUUCUCUCUUUCUCUCUAUAUAUUAUCGAG
rnacentral:lncRNA from 1 species